rnacentral:rRNA from 1 species
GUGCCAGCCGCCGCGGUAAUACGUAGGGGGCAAGCGUUGUCCGGAUUUAUUGGGCGUAAAGCGCGUGUAGGCGGCCAGGCAGGUCCGCUGUGAAAACUAGAGGCUCAACCUCUAGAGGUCGGUGGAAACCGCAUGGCUAGAGUCCGGAAGAGGAGACUGGAAUUCCCGGUGUAGCGGUGGAAUGCGCAGAUAUCGGGAGGAACACCCGUGGCGAAGGCGGGUCUCUGGGACGGUACUGACGCUGAGACGCGAAAGCGUGGGGAGCGAACAGGAUUAGAAACCCCAGUAGUCC